CUCCUGUUCAUUAAGCUGCAACGUGAAGGGGGACUCCGUCAGACCGCCUCAGAGCGCUGCAGAAACUGGACUUUGAACUGCGUCCAGACCCGGGAUUUAGCGGGGACAGAUCCACGGAGCUUCACUAAAAGUUCCCACAGUCACCUACUGCAUCAGACCAGGAUCCGUUCUCCUCACAGAGACCUGCACAGACCGUCAGGUCCAGGUUUUUGUUUGUUGUCAUGGACUCGUUACAUCGUGUUUUCUCUUCGUUGUCUUGUUCUUUCGUUCUGGAUCAGUCUUUUGGUCAGACCCUGUUUCAGAGUCUUGGCGUCUUUAGUUCUUUUGUUGACUUGUCUGAACAGUCAGACGGCACCAGGUUUCUG
rnacentral:lncRNA from 1 species